rnacentral:lncRNA from 1 species
GCAGCAUUGAUGAGUUCAUCAGCAAGGCACUCAGCGAUUGUCUUGAUGUUUCUAAAGGCAGCUUCACGUGCACCAGUGGUGAGUAAGAAGAUUGCUUGGUUCACACGUCUUAGAGGAGAGAUAUCAACGGCCUGCCUCCUAACCACACCAGCAGAUCCAAUUCUAGUAGCAUCUUCACGAGGACCACUAAUUCACACAAAAAACAAACCCUCUUAAUUAGAUUCAGUUCAUAGUAGCACACAAGAAAGAUACGGGUUUCAGUAUCGCAAUCUCAAUUCA